rnacentral:rRNA from 1 species
CCUACGGGAGGCAGCAGUGAGGAAUAUUGGUCAAUGGGCGGAAGCCUGAACCAGCAACGCCGCGUGCAGGAUGACGGCCCUCCGGGUUGUAAACUGCUUUUAUACGGGAAUAACGCGCCUUAUGUUUAGGGCUUUGCAUGUACCGUAUGAAUAAGGACCGGCUCAUUUCGUGCCAGCAGCCGAGGUAAUACGGAAGGUCCGGGCGUUAUCCGGAUUUGUUGGGUUUAAAGGGAGCGUAGGCUGCAUGGCAAGCGUGCUGUGAAAUGUCUGGGCUCAACACGGGACUUGCAUCUGGAACUGGCUUACUUGAGUCUGCGGAAGGCAAGCGGAAUUCAUCGUGUAGCGGUGAAAUGCGUAGAUAUGACGAAGAACCCCGGUGGCGAAGGCGGCUAUCUGCAACAGAACUGACGCUGAUGCGCGAAAGCGCGGGUAGCGAACAGGAUUAGAUACCCUGGUAGUC